rnacentral:lncRNA from 1 species
UUAAGCACUAUUCCAGUAAUGUUAUCAGGUCCCGUUGCCUUUUUUGGGUUUAUAUUUUUAAUUAAUUUAUAGAUGCCUUCUCUGUUGAUGUCUAUGUCGUCCAUUAUUGGAUGUGUUGAUGGACCUUUGUCAGGGAUAACUGUAUUGGUCUCAGAUGUAAAAGCUGAUUUAAAUUGUUCAUUUAAUAUGUUAGCUUUUUUCAAGGGAUCUGUAUGAAGUAAACCUUCACUCCUAAGAGGUGCAAUACCAGUGUUUUCAUUGUUUUGGCCUUUUAUGUAUGAAAAGAGUUUUUUAGGUUGUUUGUUAAAUCUCGAAUUUUCAGGCUCUUGUAUUUCAAUGUCAAAAAUCAUGUUUUCG